rnacentral:rRNA from 1 species
UCUCCCUACGGGGGGCAGCAGUGAGGAAUAUUGGUCAAUGGGAGAGAUCCUGAACCAGCCAAGCCGCGUGAGGGAAGACGGCCCUAUGGGUUGUAAACCUCUUUUGUCGGAGAACAAAACCCGGGACGUGUCCCGGACUGCGUGUAUCCGAAGAAAAAGCAUCGGCUAACUCCGUGCCAGCAGCCGCGGUAAUACGGAGGAUGCGAGCGUUAUCCGGAUUUACUGGGUUUAAAGGGUGCGUAGGCGGGACGGUAAGUCAGCGGUAAAAAUGCGGAGCUCAACUCCGUCGAGCCGUUGAAACUGCG